CUACGGGGGGCUGCAGUGAGGAAUUUUGCGCAAUGGGCGAAAGCCUGACGCAGCAACGCCGCGUGAGUGACGAAGGCCUUCGGGUCGUAAAGCUCUGUCAAGCGGGAAGAACCCGCGGACGUCCAACAAGCGUCCGCGCUGACGGUACCGCUGAAGGAAGCACCGGCUAACUCCGUGCCAGCAGCCGCGGUAAUACGGAGGGUGCGAGCGUUAUUCGGAAUUAUUGGGCGUAAAGGGCGCGCAGGCGGCCCUGAAAGUCAGAUGUGAAAGCCCGGGGCUCAACCCCGGAAGUGCAUUUGAUACUGCAGGGCUCGAGUAUGGGAGAGGGAAGUGGAAUUCCUGGUGUAGAGGUGAAAUUCGUAGAUAUCAGGAGGAACACCGGUGGCGAAGGCGACUUCCUGGACCAAUACUGACGCUGAGGCGCGAAGGCGUGGGGAGCAAACAGGAUUAGAUACCCGGGUAGUC
rnacentral:rRNA from 1 species